rnacentral:miRNA from 1 species
GUGCGUGUGUUUGUUUGUGUGCGUUCAUGAAUUUACACACACACACACACACACACACACACACACACACACACACACACA